rnacentral:ribozyme from 13 species
UUUUCUUUUUCUUUUUCUUCUUUUCUUUCAUUUUUCCCACUUUGUUUCGUCUUGCUUUUUGUGUGAAUUUUGAGGAAAAAUGGCAACGAAUCCUUUUGAUGAUGAUGGCGAUGAUAUUUUUGCCCCUGUAACAGAAAAGAAAGAUACUAAGAAUGAUUCUCUGUUUGGUGAUAAUGAUGA